rnacentral:rRNA from 1 species
UACGUAGGGUGCAAGCGUUGUCCGGAAUUAUUGGGCGUAAAGAGCUCGUAGGCGGUUCGUCGCGUCGGCUGUGAAAACCUGAGGCUCAACCUCAGGCCUGCAGUCGAUACGGGCGGACUUGAGUACUGCAGGGAGACUGGAAUUCCUGGUGUAGCGGUGAAAUGCGCAGAUAUCAGGAGGAACACCGGUGCGAAGGCGGUCUCUGGCAGUGAACUGACGCUGGAGGAGCGAAAGCGUGGGAGCGAACAGG